UACACUUUAAAUCCUUUAACGAGGAUCAAUUGGAGGGCAAGUCUGGUGCCAGCAGCCGCGGUAAUUCCAGCUCCAAUAGCGUAUAUUAAAGUUGUUGCAGUUAAAAGCUCGUAGUUGGAUCUCAGGAUUUGGAUGGAUGGUUCGCUUUCGGGCGCUACUAUCUGUCUGACCUACUCUAGUCGUGGAUGCCUUGGGUGCUCUUAAUUGAGUGCUUUUGGUGCCCGACGCAAUUACUUUGAAAAAAUUAGAGUGCUCAAAGCAGGCGUAUUGCCUGAAUAGUGUUGCAUGGAAUAAUGAAAUAGGAGUUUACUUCUAUUUUGUUGGUUUUCGGAGGUGAACUAAUGAUUAACAGGGACAGACGGGGGCAUUUGUAUGGAGGGGUUAGAGGUGAAAUUCUUGGAUCCUCUCCAGACAAACUACUGCGAAAGCAUUUGCCAGGAAUGUUUUCACUAAUCAAGAACGAAAGUCAGAGGUUCGAAGACGAUCAGAUACCGUCCUAGUUCUGACCAUAAAUGAUGCCAUCUAACAAUCCACGAAGUUUGCUUGUACGAACUCGUGGGCGGUCCUCGGGAAACCAAAGAUUUUGGGUUCCGGGGGAAGUAUGGUUGCAAAGCUGAAACUUAAAGGAAUUGACGGAAGGGCACCACCAGGAGUGGAGCCUGCGGCUUAAUUUGACCCAACACGGGAAACCUCACCCGGCCCGGACACUUUUAGGAUUGACAGAUUGAAGGCUCUUUCUUGAUCAAGUGGUUGGUGGUGCAUGGCCGUUCUUAGUUGGUGGAGCGAUUUGUCUGGUUAAUUCCGAUAACGAACGAGACUCUACUCUGCUAAAUAGAACGUUGAUAUAUAAAAGUCAGUGCUGACUUCUUAGAGAGACUAACGGCGUUUAGCCGUGUGAGAAAGAGCAAUAACAGGUCUGUGAUGCCCUUAGAUGUCCGGGGCCGCACGCGCGCUACACUGACUGCAGCAACUAGUAUGCUCCUGGUUUGAAAAAACUGGGUAACCUGGUUGAAUUGCAGGCGUGACAGGGAUCAGAGUUUGCAAUUAUCCUCUGUGAACGAGGAAUUCCCAGUAAGCGCAAGUCAUUAGCUUGUGCUGAUUACGUCCCUGCCCUUUGUACACACCGCCCGUCGCUACUACCGAUUGAAUGGUUUAGUGAGGUCUUCGGAUUGGUGCUGAUGGAGUGGUUCUCUGCUCUGUUAGUGCCGAGAAGAUGAUCAAACUUGAUCAUUUAGAGGAAGUAAAAGUCGUAACAAGGU
rnacentral:rRNA from 1 species